GGACAUGUGCCCGAAAGCUAGGGCUCACCCUGAUAAGGUGAAUAUAGGGAUUCGAACUCCCUCGUCUC
rnacentral:tRNA from 1 species